AACGAACGCUGGCGGUGCGUCUUAAGCAUGCAAGUCGAACGGUAAGAAGAGAGCUUGCUCUUUUCCUAGAGUGGCGGACUGGUGAGUAACGCGUGGAUGAUCUACCUUUAAGAUGGGGAUAGCUUCUAGAAAUAGGAGAUAAUACCGAAUAACCUUAUCGUGUUAUGACGUGAUAAGAAAAUGGAGCGUUAGCUCCGCUUGAAGAUGAGUCUGCGUCCCAUUAGCUAGUUGGUAAGGUAAAGGCUUACCAAGGCGAUGAUGGGUAUCCGGCCUGAGAGGGUGAACGGACACAUUGGGACUGAGAUACGGCCCAAACUCCUACGGGAGGCAGCAGCUGAGAAUCUUCCGCAAUGGACGAAAGUCUGACGGAGCGACACCGCGUGAACGAUGAAGGCCGGAAGGUUGUAAAUUCUUUUGCAGACAAAGAAUAAGGAUAGAAGGAAGUGACUAUCUGAUGACGGUAGUUAUGCGAAUAAGCCCCGGCUAAUU
rnacentral:rRNA from 1 species